rnacentral:rRNA from 1 species
AGAGAGUAGUUGCGGUAGGCGGAAUGUAUGGUGUAGCGGUGAAAUGCUUAGAGAUCAUACAGAACACCGAUUGCGAAGGCAGCUUACCAAACUAUAUCUGACGUUGAGGCACGAAAGCGUGGGGAGCAAACAGGAUUAGAUACCCUGGUAGUCCACGCAGUAAACGAUGAUAACUCGUUGUCGGCGAUACACAGUCGGUGACUAAGCGAAAGCGAUAAGUUAUCCACCUGGGGAGUACGUUCGCAAGAAUGAAACUCAAAGGAAUUGACGGGGGCCCGCACAAGCGGAGGAACAUGUGGUUUAAUUCGAUGAUACGCGAGGAACCUUACCCGGGCUUGAAAGUUACUGACGAUUCUGGAAACAGGAUUUCCCUUCGGGGCAGGAAACUAGGUGCUGCAUGGUUGUCGUCAGCUCGUGCCGUGAGGUGUCGGGUUAAGUCCCAUAACGAGCGCAACCCCUACCGUUAGUUGCCAUCAGGUCAAGCUGGGCACUCUGGCGGGACUGCCGGUGUAAGCCGAGAGGAAGGUGGGGAUGACGUCAAAUCAGCACGGCCCUUACGUCCGGGGCUACACACGUGUUACAAUGGUAGGUACAGAGGGCAGCUACCCAGUGAUGGGAUGCGAAUCUCGAAAGCCUAUCUCAGUUCGGAUUGGAGGCUGAAACCCGCCUCCAUGAAGUUGGAUUCGCUAGUAAUCGCGCAUCAGCCAUGGCGCGGUGAAUACGUUCCCGGGCCUUGUACACACCGCCCGUCAAGCCAUGGAAGCUGGGGGUGCCUGAAGUUCGUGACCGCAAGGAGCGACCUAGGGCAAAACCGGUAACUGGGGCUAAGUCGUAACAAGGUAGCCGUACCGGAAGGUGCGGCUG